GUAGGUGGCAAGCGUUGUCCGGAAUUAUUGGGCGUAAAGCGCGCGCAGGUGGGUUCUUUAAGUCUGAUGUGAAAGCCCCCGGGCUCAACCGGGGAGGGUCAUUGGAAACUCGGGGAACUUGAGUGCAGGAGAGGAAAGUGGAAUUCCACGUGUAGCGGUGAAAUGCGUAGAUAUGUGGAGGAACACCAGUGGCGAAGGCGACUUUCUGGCCUGUAACUGACACUGAGGCGCGAAAGCGUGGGGAGCAAACAGGAUUAGAUACCCUGGUAGUCCACGCCGUAAACGAUGAGUGCUAAGUGUUGGGGGGUUUCCGCCCCUCAGUGCUGCAGCUAACGCAUUAAGCACUCCGCCUGGGGAGUACGGUCGCAAAGACUG
rnacentral:rRNA from 1 species